GCUUGUCUCAAAGAUUAAGCCAUGCAUGUCUAAGAACAGCCUUAGAAUGGUGAAUCCGCGAAUGGCUCAUUACAACAGCUAUCGUUUACUAGAUCUUACCCUUUUACUUGGAUAACUGUGGUAAUUCUAGAGCUAAUACAUGCAGCAAGCUCCAACCUUACGGAAGGAGCGCAUUUAUUAGGCUAAAACCAACCGAACCUUCGGGUUCGUCUCUUGGUGAAUCUGAAUAACUUUGCUGAUCGCACGGUCUAGCACCGGCGAUGUAUCUUUCAAAUGUCUGCCUUAUCAACUUUCGAUGGUAGUUUCAGCGCCUACCAUGGUUGUAACGGGUAACGGAGAAUCAGGGUUCGACUCCGGAGAGGGAGCCUGAAAAACGGCUGCCACAUCCAAGGAAGGCAGCAGG
rnacentral:rRNA from 1 species